rnacentral:rRNA from 1 species
GGGUUGUGAGGUUAAGCGACUAAGCGUACACGGUGGAUGCCCUGGCAGUCAGAGGCGAUGAAGGGCGUGCUAAUCUGCGAUAAGCGCCGGUAAGGUGAUAUGAACCGUUAUAACCGGCGAUACCCGAAUGGGGAAACCCAGUGUGAUUCGUCACACUAUCAUUAACUGAAUCCAUAGGUUAAUGAGGCGAACCGGGGGAACUGAAACAUCUAAGUACCCCGAGGAAAAGAAAUCAACCGAGAUUCCCCCAGUAGCGGCGAGCGAACGGGGAGGAGCCCAGAGCCUGAAUCAGCAUGUGUGUUAGUGGAAGCGUCUGGAAAGUCGCGCGAUACAGGGUGACAGCCCCGUACACAAAAGCGCAUGUGUUGUGAGCUCGAUGAGUAGGGCGGGACACGUGGUAUCCUGUCUGAAUAUGGGGGGACCAUCCUCCAAGGCUAAAUACUCCUGACUGACCGAUAGUGAACCAGUACCGUGAGGGAAAGGCGAAAAGAACCCCGGCGAGGGGAGUGAAAAAGAACCUGAAACCGUGUACGUACAAGCAGUGGGAGCACCCUUCGGGGUGUGACUGCGUACCUUUUGUAUAAUGGGUCAGCGACUUAUAUUCUGUAGCAAGGUUAACCGAAUAGGGGAGCCGGAGGGAAACCGAGUCUUAAUUGGGCGUUAAGUUGCAGGGUAUAGACCCGAAACCCGGUGAUCUAGCCAUGGGCAGGUUGAAGGUUGGGUAACACUAACUGGAGGACCGAACCGACUAAUGUUGAAAAAUUAGCGGAUGACCUGUGGCUGGGGGUGAAAGGCCAAUCAAACCGGGAGAUAGCUGGUUCUCCCCGAAAGCUAUUUAGGUAGCGCCUCGUGAAUUCAUCUCCGGGGGUAGAGCACUGUUUCGGCUAGGGGGCCAUCCCGGCUUACCAACCCGAUGCAAACUGCGAAUACCGGAGAAUGUUAUCACGGGAGACACACGGCGGGUGCUAACGUCCGUCGUGAAGAGGGAAACAACCCAGACCGCCAGCUAAGGUCCCAAAGUCAUGGUUAAGUGGGAAACGAUGUGGGAAGGCCCAGACAGCCAGGAUGUUGGCUUAGAAGCAGCCAUCAUUUAAAGAAAGCGUAAUAGCUCACUGGUCGAGUCGGCCUGCGCGGAAGAUGUAACGGGGCUAAACCAU